GACGAACGAGGCGGCGUGCCUAAUACAUGCAAGUAGAACGCUGAAGAGAGGAGCUUGCUCUUCUAGGAUGAGUUGCGAACGGGUGAGUAACGCGUAGGUAACCUGCCUUGUAGCGGCGGAUAACUAUUGGAAACGAUAGCUAAUACCGCAUAACAAUGGGUGACACAUGUCAUUUAUUUGAAAGGGGCAACUGCUCCACUACAAGAUGGACCUGCGUUGUAUUAGCUAGUAGGUGAGGUAACGGCUCACCUAGGCGACGAUACAUAGCCGACCUGAGAGGGUGAUCGGCCACACUGGGACUGAGACACGGCCCAGACCCCUACGGGAGGCAGCAGUAGGGAAUCUUCGGCAAUGGGGGCAACCCUGACCGAGCAGCGCCGCGUGAGUGAAGAAGGUUUUCGGAUCGUAAAGCUCUGUUGUAAGUCAAGAACGAGUGUGAGAGUGGAAAGUUCACACUGUGACGGUAGCUUACCAGAAAGGGACGGCUAACUACGUGCCAGCAGCCGCGGUAAUACGUAGGUCCCGAGCGUUGUCCGGAUUUAUUGGGCGUAAAGCGAGCGCAGGCGGUUUGAUAAGUCUGAAGUUAAAGGCUGUGGCUCAACCAUAGUUCGCUUUGGAAACUGUCAAACUUGAGUGCAGAAGGGGAGAGUGGAAUUCCAUGUGUAGCGGUGAAAUGCGUAGAUAUAUGGAGGAACACCGGUGGCGAAAGCGGCUCUCUGGUCUGUAACUGACGCUGAGGCUCGAAAGCGUGGGGAGCGAACAGG
rnacentral:rRNA from 1 species